rnacentral:rRNA from 1 species
CCUACGGGGGGCAGCAGUGGGGAAUAUUGCACAAUGGGGGGAACCCUGAUGCAGCAACGCCGCGUGGGUGAAGAAGUACUUCGGUAUGUAAAGCCCUGUCAGCAGGGAAGUAAAUGACGGUACCUGACCCAGAUGCCCCGGCUAACUACGUGCCAGAUGCCGCGGUAAUACGUAGGGGGCAAGCGUUAUCCGGAUUUACUGGGUGUAAAGGGAGCGUAGACGGCAAGGAAAGUCUGUAGUGAAAGCCCGUGGCUCAACCACGGGACUGCUUUGGAAACUGUGUUGCUUGAGUGCAGGCGGGGUAAGCGGAAUUCCUAGUGUAGCGGUGAAAUGCGUAGAUAUUAGGAGGAACACCGGUGGCGAAGGCGGCUUACUGGACUGUAACUGACGUUGAGGCUCGAAGGCGUGGGGAGCAAACAGGAUUAGAUACCCGUGUAGUC